rnacentral:rRNA from 1 species
AAAAGUUAUGUAAGGGCGUAUGGGGGAUGCCUAGGCUCUCAGAGGCGAAGAAGGACGUGAUAAGCUGCGAAAAGUUGCGGGGAUUGGCACAUACGAAUUGAUCCGCAAAUAUCCGAAUGGGGCAACCCAGUAUAUUGAAGAUAUACUACAUCGCAAGAUGAGCGAACCCGCUGAACUGAAACAUCUAAGUAGGCGGAGGAGAAGAAAACAAAAGUGAUUCCCAAAGUAGUGGCGAGCGAAAUGGGAACAGCCCAAACCCAUAUUGUUACGGCAAUAUGGGGGUUGUAGGACCCAGAUAUAGGUUGUAAAGCUGGAUUAGAAGUGUUUGGAAAGACACACCAUAGAGAGUGAAAGUCUCGUAUAGGCACAGUUUUAUAAAUCUUAUGGGUAUCCUGAGUAGGUCGGGGCACGUGGAACCUUGACUGAAUCCGCCGGGACCAUCCGGUAAGGCUAAAUACUCCUGAGAGACCGAUAGUGAACCAGUACCGUGAGGGAAAGGUGAAAAGAACCGUGAAUAACGGAGUGAAAUAGACCCUGAAACCAUACGCCUACAAGCGGUCGGAGCAGCUUAGGCUGUGACGGCGUGCCUUUUGCAUAAUGAGCCUACGAGUUACUGUUACCAGCGAGGAUAAGUAUUUCAGAUACGAAUCCGUAGCGAAAGCGAGUCUGAAUAGGGCGGCAAUAGUUGGUAGUAGUAGACGCGAAACCUGGUGAUCUACCCUUGGGCAGGUUGAAGCGCUGGUAACACAGCGUGGAGGACCGAACUGGUUGUCGUUGAAAAGACUUCGGAUGACCUGAGGGUAGGGGUGAAAGGCCAAUCAAACUGGGAAAUAGCUCGUACUCCCCGAAAUGCAUUUAGGUGCAGCGUUGAUGUGAGUUUAAUAGAGGUAGAGCUACUGAUUGGAUGCGGGGGUUUCAUCGCCUACCAAUUCCUGACAAACUCCGAAUGCUAUUAAAUGCUCAUCAGCAGUGAGGGUAUGGGUGCUAAGGUCCAUAUCCGAGAGGGAAAGAACCCGGACCAUCAGCUAAGGUCCCCAAAUAUAUGCUAAGUUGACCAAACGCGGUCUGACUGCACUGACAGCUAGGAUGUUGGCUUGGAAGCAGCCAUACAUUUAAAGAGUGCGUAACAGCUCACUAGUCGAGCGGUUGGGCAUGGAUAAUAAACGGGCAUAAGCAUAUUACCGAAGCUAUGGGGUUAUUACUUAAGUAAUAUACCGGUAGGGGAGCAUUCUAUUGGCGUGGAAGCUAAAGGCGUGAGCCAUAGUGGAGCCUGAUAGAAAAGAAAAUGUAGGCAUAAGUAACGAUAAGGCAGGCGAGAAACCUGCCCGCCGAAAGAUCAAGGUUUCCUCAGCUAUGCUAAUCAGCUGAGGGUUAGUCGGGGACUAACGCGAACCCGAGUAGGGGUAGUGGAUGUACAACGGGUUAAUAUUCCCGUACCAUUAAUCUAAUAAAAGUGACGGAAUGAGAUAGCUACCGCGUACAGACGGAAUAGUACGUUUAAGGAGUUGUUAUGACUUCAAAAGUACACCGAGGCUUCGGCUGAAGUGAGAGUGGCGACAACGUUUCCAAGAAAAGCGAAGAUUAAUGCCCGUACCGUAAACCGACACAGGUGAUUGGGAUGAGAAUUCUAAGGCGCUCGAGAGAUUCAUGGCUAAGGAACUAGGCAAAAUAGACCUGUAACUUCGGGAGAAAGGUCGCCUAUCUAGCGAUAGGCCGCAGUGAAAAGGUCCAAGCGACUGUUUAUCAAAAACACAGGACUCUGCAAAAUCGAAAGAUGAAGUAUAGGGUCUGACACCUGCCCGGUGCUGGAAGGUUAAGAGGAGAGCUUAGCGUAAGCGAAGGUUUGAAUUGAAGCCCCAGUAAACGGCGGCCGUAACUAUAACGGUCCUAAGGUAGCGAAAUUCCUUGUCGGGUAAGUUCCGACCUGCACGAAUGGUGUAACGAUUUGGACACUGUCUCGGCCAUGAGCUCGGUGAAAUUGUAGUAUCGGUGAAGAUGCCGAUUACCCGCAGUGGGACGAAAAGACCCUGUGCACCUUUACUAUAUCUUCGUAUUGGUCUUGGAUAAGUGAUGCGUAGGAUAGGUGGGAGACUAAGAAGCGGCUAUUCCGGUAGUUGUGGAGUCAUUGUUGAAAUACCACCCUUUGCUUAUCUGAGGUCUAACCCUGCUAAGAGUAGGGGACAAUUCGUGGAGGGUAGUUUGACUGGGGUGGUCGCCUCCAAAAGCGUAACGGAGGCUUCUAAAGG